CAAAACUUUCAACAACGGAUCUCUUGGUUCUGGCAUCGAUGAAGAACGCAGCGAAAUGCGAUAAGUAAUGUGAAUUGCAGAAUUCAGUGAAUCAUCGAAUCUUUGAACGCACAUUGCGCCCCUUGGUAUUCCGAGGGGCAUGCCUGUUCGAG
rnacentral:rRNA from 6 species